GCUGAGGCUGGCGCCAAACAAUGCUUGCAUUUCUGGGGAAUCAUCUCAUGCAGACGACCUUUUGUUUCAGGUGGGGAAAAAAGCUCUUAUUGAUCACAUGACUCUUUUUCCAAAGAGGUAAGAAACAAGCUCUGAAACAAGCCAUGGACUACACAUGAACCAGGCGGCCUUAGCCGUUUUAGUUCUCGCUGGCAUUUUAAUAUGCACUUCUAAUGAGUUCGUGUAACCAGCACUUUUUGUUGGCAUUGGUUUCAGAUGUUUGUGUACCGACUUGUUAGAGUACUAUAAUCUACAUUUAAUUUCCUUUCAUGUACUUCAAUUUACAGUUAGAACUUUAAAUAUA